ensembl:lncRNA
CCCCGAUCAGGCAGUUGCAUUUAUCAUGGUCUAUGAGGAUGGCAAAGGGUCUGUGGCCGCUGACCCGAGGGGAUAGGAACAAGCAGUUUGAGACUCAAGGCAGCCUGAAACCCCAAUGCUAUCCUUCUCCUGGUCCAUCCUCAGGCAUCUCCCUAAAGCAACUCAAGCUCCUCCUGCCUUGCACUGCAGUGGAAGGCGCCUGUUCCUCAGCUCAGAACAGAUCCCUGUUGAGUCUAUGGAGCAUCUUCUCCAUGCUGGGUAUUCUUCAAGCCUUGAAGACCAGUCUCCACAUCCCCCAAGCAGACCGCUCCACCCCCAUAGCUGAGACAAGGUGUCCCUUCACACCGCUGGAGGCAUCGCCUUUGGCCUGCGCCAGCAGCCACCCAGCAACGCCUAGGGGUCCGCCUGAGCGAAGCAAGAACUUGGACACUUUAGCAAACUCUCCCCCUUUUUCUUCUUCCUCCACCGUUUUCUGGCUCAGAAACUGCACUAGGUGGCCCCCCAGGUCACUCCUUGGGUAGCAGACAGCUACCCGACAGAAGAUACAUUACUGGGCUGCUCCUGGAGAAGACCAAAACCCUGUCAAGAAGUGGAAGAAUAUACUGACACUAGAAGAAAAAAGGCUUUCCGAGACAGACAAUAUUAUGUAUAAAGCUCUACAGUUUCCUUCAUCCUGCACACAGCGGUGGCCCUGUGUGUCGUUUCACUCCUCAGCUUCACACUUGGCAUGCUUCGGGAAAGCCUCGUGCCCCAAGCUCUCCACGCAGCAGCUCUCACAAAGACUCAGUUUGCCCCAACAAUUCCCUCAGCCCCAGACUCCAAGCUGAAUGUUCCCCAACUACCCAUCUAGUGGAGGAACCAGUCCACUUUGGCCAAAUGUCCCCAAACCACACACCUUCUAAAUAUCUAGAGGUUUCCUGGGCUAGACCUUAAAUCAGAAAAUGCUCGAAACUGAUGCAUCAUUCCAUCAUCACCACCAGCACUUCUUCCUCCAUCACACACCUCUCCUCCUCUCCUGCCCCAGCCUCGAGACACAUGCUGCUCUUCCUCACUGGGAUCUCAACCACACGCAUACGCAGCAUGUUCAAGGGGCUUUCAACCAGCUGCUUCUCAGACAUAAGUCAGCCAUAUUGUUGUCUGCUUGUAAGACAGGAAUAGAUAAUGGAAGGGGCAGGGGUGCAAAAUAAGAGCUUGACACGUUUGAGAGAAGAAUCAGCAUGCUGGGGAGGAAUGUACUAGGGUAUCUAGUUCCUGGUAAGUAGCCCCCUGGAAACAGCCAGGAGGAAAGGCAAGGCCUGGCCUCCAUUCAGUCACUCACUCCUUGUUCCAGUGCUACCUCCCUCCUUGGGAUGAGGCUCGUGGCUUUGGCUGGGCAGAGCUGGCCCCACACUUUCCUCAGACAGCAAGCUGGAACUGAGCAGCAGCAAAGCUCUGGGUCCCAGACUCUCUGCAAGACAGAAAAGCCUGCUCAGCCCUAGGUUUGGAUACUGAGUGGCCACCUCCUGACCUGCUCUCUCCUCUCAGCACUGAACACCAUCCUGUCCAUCCCUGAGCACAGAGGGAAAAUGUCCACGUCAGGGUCUUCAGCCAACACCAAAUCCCCAGGGGAAAGGCUGCAGCCAACGUAGGCGCAGCACCAGCGGCUGCCCGUUUACAUUACCAGAGCCGCUAAAGGCACAUGUGCUCAGAUGGACAGCCUGGGGUCAGAACCCAGCUCCGCACGCUCACCGUUUGACCGUGGACAAGAUGUUGUGGCCCGCAUCUUUAAAAU